AGUUGCCUACAUGUUGUCAUGUAGUGCAAGGUACACAAGUUGACCUCAGGCUUUCUCUACAAAUGUAUGCUGAUCAUGUGUCUCACCUGACAGCUUUGUGUCUUGGAUACAGUAGGACAUUUUGACAGCAAUAAACACCCAAGUGUCAGAAGAAAGGUGAAACCCUUUGUAGAGCCUAGUGAGGGCAAGAGAGAAGAUGAGAAGUCUGAGCCUGCCAGAGCCAAAACAAUGCUGCAGAAGCUUCUGAUACUGUGACAGAAGACCAAUCAGACAGCUAGUUAAACCACUGCCCAUGUCUGUGCUCCACCCAGAUCACAGCUCCAUACAGAUUAUGCCAAAAAAUGGAUGCCGAAAAUUUCUAUAUUUGUUAAUCACAUGAUCUCUGAAAGGAAAAAAAGAAUGGCUGUCAGAGAUCCCUUCAUUUAAGAGAAAUGCAAAAUUGUCUCCAGAAACACUCCUAAACAUGCCAAAAUCUUUACAAUCAAACAUCAUUCAGUCCUGCAAGACACAGGUCCCAUGGUAUUCAUGCAAGCCACUUACAACAUCAGUCUCCCUGCUCUUGCAAGUGAACCUACUUGUAAGGACAUUUCCUUGGGGCUAAUGGCUUUAUGAAUGUUGACAUCUGUUGCAUGCAGUAAAUUGAAGGUUUCAAAGCCGGAAACAUUCAAGUUGGAGCAGUUUUUGAAACUCUUCAUAAUCUCCUGGUUUUCAAAUUAAGCAAAGGAAGGUUAUUCGUACACAGUCCUGUAAGGAAUUUAGAAGGAAACCUUAAAAAUUAAAAUAGCAAACUGAAAUUGUGUGAAAUGAUUUUAGUAGAACCAGGAGAAACAAUGGAAUCCUACCCCUAGGCACGGAUUCCUGAACAUCUGUAAGGGAAAUGUAUGAAGUAAAUUAUGUGGUGUGUUGGGUGUGAUUUUAAGGACUGUGUUUCUAGCUUGGAAGCAAGAACAGAUAAUCUCAUCAUUUGCUUCCACGUGGGAAUAAUACACAAAAGGAAAAUGUCUGAGGAGCAGCCAAAAGAGGGUAAAAUAUGAAUGCUAUCUAAAAGAAGAAGGAAUUCUGUGCUUAAUUUAACAGCUGGUUAAUGGUCUAGAAUGGACACAGUAGCAACUAUGUUCUAGAGCCCAGAGCCUGGACACUACUUUUUCUUGCAAGUUACAUGACAUCUUUGAUAAGCCACUUGCCCACUGUGCUUUUCAACUCUUUGCCUAGUUGGACUGCGAUUGAUGGAGACAAGCAAUUUUCUUUCUGUUUCUUUGACCUUAGUCCUGUAUAAGGUUUUAACUGCUAAAAAUGUCUAAUAUAUCCAUGUCGGCAUUUGGUAGGUUCUGUUUGCUGUCAAAAUUGAACUUUUAAUGACCAAUUUAGUUUUUACUUUAAUGAGAUACUGAGAUUGUGUUGCAAAAAUUUAUAUAUAUGCAAACUCUACUUGUCAUUGAAUUGCUGUAUUAUGGUAGUAGCAUGUGAAGAAUUUUACCUGUUCUAUUAUUUUACAGAAAUUUUGCAUCAGCUUCCCCCAUUUAUUUCUACUUUUUUUUCAGUGUCAGGGGAUACUGAUUUCAUUCCCCUCUUUGUUAUGACAGAAAUGAGUUGAUUUUUUUUUUCCAGUAGCAGUCAUGAGGACCAGAUUUUAAUGCCAGUGUUAUCUGGUCCAGAAUUAUUAUUAUUGAAGGAGGGAGGUGAGGAUGAAGAGGGUGCCUCACACUCAGAAGCACACAAAGGUGUCCUGUAUUACCUGACAGUGGACAAACUCUCCCUAAUGCAGCCUCUUAAUGAACAAUCAUAGUUUAUGAAGUUUUGUGAAAACUCCUUAAUUUUCACAAAGUAAUUUUGAGGAUAGCACCAUAUUUUUUUUUAGAGCGUAACAAUUACACUUAUUCCUUAAUAGCUUGACAGUACAGCUAAUGUGAGGAAAAAAAAAAUAAUAUAUAUAUAUAUAUAGUUUCCAAGAAAAAAAAAACACCUUUUCAAUGUAGGAAGGUAAUUAGCAUAAGCUUUCCUACCUGAAUUCUAAUGAAUUCAUUCCUAUUUUUCCUUAGAGUUUUAUCACCACUCACUUUUCCAGAUACUGCAUGUGAUAUAUUAGUCUAUUUGGAUUUGAUAGGCAAUAAAAACAGACCAGUCAGUCUGUUACUUCUAUAACCUCUUGCAUUUAAGAAAUAAUAUAAAUAGCAUAAAGACAGAGGGAGAAAUCAAUGUGUCAAUUAUUUAUAUAGAAAAAAAUCUAGUAAAAUGAAAUUGCUUAUUUCCUAAAGGGCAGAGAUGAACUUUUUUUGGCUGUUUAUGCAGAAAUGUUAUAAAUAUUUAAAUGUAAAUAAUAAAAUCUUUGCAUGCAUAAAUAAACAUGAGAUUGAUAU
rnacentral:lncRNA from 7 species